AUAUCCUCCUUAGAUAACUUUUCCAAAUAUCUCAAGAUUCGACCAAUUAAAUCAAAAGCCUUUUCCGAUGUAAAGGACGUCCUUUUGCAACUCCUUUUCGAUUGGGAUCUACACGGAGGAUAAUCUAAUAAUGUUAUUUAGGAACAAAAGUGGUUUUGCUAUCUCUCAUAAAUGCACACAUCCCAUUAAUGUCUCAACUUCGCUGGCUUCUACCUACCGGAAUUAUUUGCUAGUGGACAUCGAGUAAAAAAAUCAGUUCGAUUACGUGCAAGUGUAUCAUAGAAGCCAAAUCUAGCCGUCCUAAAUUGAUAUUGAGCUUCCGUCGUGCAAUGUCGCAUUUCAUCAAAAGAAAAAUUAUUUAUUGUGUGAAGUGGUGUAAAGGUAUAAAUAUGAUAAAAUUUCUCAUUAGAUAAUAAAUAUGUAUAUUA